GAGGGGAGUGAAAGAGAACCUGAAACUAUAUGCUUACAAGCAGAGGGAGCGCAACGCCUUUAGGCAGGCGUGACCUCGUACUUUUUGUAGAACGGGCCGGCGAGUUACGAUGUGUAGCGAGGUUAAGAGUUGAAGACUCGGAGCCGAAGCGAAAGCGAGUUUGAAAAGGGCGACAAGUUGCAUGUCGUAGACCCGAAACCGGAUGACCUAACCAUGAGCAGGAUGAAGCAGGAGUAAAAUCCUGUGGAGGUCCGAACGCACUGCUGUUGAAAUAGUAGGCGAUGACUUGUGGUUAGCGGAGAAAUUCCAAUCGAAUCCGGUUAUAGCUGGUUCUCCUCGAAAUAGCUUUAGGGCUAGCCUCAUAGUAAGUAUGCCGGGGGUAGAGCACUGUAUGACCUAGGGGCCUUCACGGGUUACCGAAGUUUAACAAACUGCGAAUACCGGACAUAUAUAUAUGGGAGUCAGACGGCGAGAGAUAAGUUCCGUCGUCAAAAGGGAAACAGCCCAGACCCACAGCUAAGGUCCCGAAGUGCAGGUUAAGUGGUAAAGGAUGUGACAAUACGAAGACAACCAGGAUGUUGGCUUAGAAGCAGCCACACAUUCAAAGAGUGCGUAAUAGCUCACUGGUCGAGCGAUGUUGCGCCGAAGAUAACCGGGGCUAAAACCUGACACCGAAGCUUGGGAAUCACAGCAAUGUGAUUGGUAGAGGAGCAAUCCUGACGCGCAGAAGCCAUAGCGAAAGCGGUGGUGGAGUGUGAGGAAGAGAGAAUGCCGGCAUAAGUAGCGAAAGAGGAGCGAGAAACUCCUCCGUCGAAAGCCUAAGGUUUCCUGGGGAAGGUUCGUCCGCCCAGGGUAAGUCGGGACCUAAGUCGAGGCCGAAAGGCGUAGAUGAUGGACAAACGGUGGAUAUUCCGUUACCGUCGUACAGACCGAAGCAGGGACACAGAAGGAUAGUCAGACCACGGGGAUGGAAAGCCGUGGGCAAGCACCGAGGCCGAUCGGCAGUGAAGUACACCGAUCGUAAGGCUGGGGUGUGAUGCGGAGUGGACAAGAGAAACGAAGCUGACGAAUUCACGCUGGCGAGAAAAGCUGCUAAGGAUAUGUGUAAGGCGCCCGUACCGCAAACCGACACAGGUAGGCGGCAAGAAAAUUGCAAGACGAGCGGGAUAACCUUUGUUAAGGAACUCGGCAAAAUGACCCCGUAACCUCGGGAUAAGGGGAGCCUGGUGACAGGCCACAGAAAAGAGGCCCAAGCGACUGUUUACCAAAAACACAGGUCUCUGCGAAAGCGAAAGCUGAAGUAUAGGGGCUGACGCCUGCCCGGUGCUGGAAGGUUAAGGGGAUGUGUUAGGGCAACCGAAGCACUGAACUUAAGCCCCAGUAAACGGCGGCCGUAACUAUAACGGUCCUAAGGUAGCGAAAUUCCUUGUCAGGUAAGUUCUGACCCGCACGAAAGGCGUAACGAUCUGGGCGCUGUCUCAACAAUAGACUCGGUGAAAUUGUAGUACCGGUAAAGAUGCCGGUUACCCGCAGCAGGACGGAAAGACCCCAUGGAGCUUUACUGUAGCUUGAUAUUGAGUUUCGGCGUUGCAUGUACAGGAUAGGUGGGAGACUAUGAGCCUAGUACGCCAGUAUUAGAGGAGUCACCGUUGGGAUACCACCCUUGUAACGUUGAAGUUCUAACGGCGUGCCGUGAUCCGGCACCUGGACAGUGUCAGGUG
rnacentral:rRNA from 1 species